rnacentral:rRNA from 1 species
AUACGGGGGGUGCAAGCGUUGUUCGGAAUUAUUGGGCGUGAAGGGCGCGUAGGCGGUUUUACAAGUCUGGUGUGAAAGAUCUCAGCUUAACUGAGGGACCGCGCUGGAAACUGUAAGACUAGAAUCUAGGAGGGGAAGCUGGAAUUCCUGGUGUAGGGGUGAAAUCUGUAGAUAUCAGGAAGAACACCGGUGGCGAAGGCGAGCUUCUGGCCAUAGAUUGACGCUGAGGCGCGAAAGCGUGGGGAGCGAACAGGAUUAGAAACCCUUGUAGUCC